AGCGAACGCUGGCGGCAGGCCUAACACAUGCAAGUCGAACGAACCUUUCGGGGUUAGUGGCGGACGGGUGAGUAACACGUGGGAACGUGCCUUUAGGUUCGGAAUAACUCAGGGAAACUUGUGCUAAUACCGAAUGUGCCCUUCGGGGGAAAGAUUAAUCGCCUUUAGAGCGGCCCGCGUCUGAUUAGCUAGUUGGUUGAGGUAAUGGCUCACCAAGGCGACGAUCAGUAGCUGGUCUGAGAGGAUGAUCAGCCACAUUGGGACUGAGACACGGCCCAAACCCCUACGGGGGGCCGCAGUGGGGAAUUUUGGGCAAUGGGGGAAAGCCUGACGCAGCCCUGCCGGGGGAAUGAUGAAGGUCUGAGGAUUGUAAAAUUCUUUCCCCGGGGAAGAAAAUGACGGGACCCGGGAAAGAAGCCCCGGCUAACCUCG
rnacentral:rRNA from 1 species